AAGGGCACCACAAGAACGCGUGGAGCAUGUGGCUUAAUUUGACUCAACGCGGGGAAUCUUACCGGGUCCGGACACACUGAGGAUUGACAGACGGUUAUUGACUUAUACUCGCUUAAUGGCUUUAAGCUGUUAAACGUUUAACACCUUUACACAAAGAUGCUAGUCCUUUCAUGAUCGUUUGAUAGGUGGUGCAUGGCCGUUCUUAGUUCGUGGAGUGAUCUGUCUGCCUAAUUGCGUUUCACUAAGGUCCCAUUCUUCAUACGUAUGAAUAGCGUCUUAACUAUCUUUUACCGCUACCUAUUUGUAGUAAGCGCUCAUACUAUUGGGACCGGAAUGCAACGAGCGCGACUGCACCACCUAAUUGCCCCUUAUCUACCAUUAAUUACUUUAUUAACCGCCCUGUACGGGCACCGGGGCCUUACCUUUACUGAAACUAGCUGGACCGCUGCUUUCCUUUAAGCCAGAGGAAGGUUGCGGCAAUAACAGGUCUGUGAUGCCCUCAGAUGUUCCGGGCCGCACACGUGCUACAAUGAUCAGCACAAAGAGUAUUACCUAUCUUCUUAUACCUAACCCAAUAUGUUAAACUUAUUGCGUAAGGGUAUUGUCUUAACGACUUAUCCGCUUUAGCGCUUUAAGAUUAUUGGACGGUUAUGCCUGCCUCGAGAGAGUGUACAGGGCAGCAAGAGUAAUGAUUCCCUCGUUUUUACUACUAAUACCGCGCUUGGUAACAUAUUACACUCGAUUAAGUAGGGUCUUUGCUUCUAAUAGCAAUUGCUAUCCUCACCCUUAGGGUCUAAGGAUAUUACUAUCUCUAAGGUCUACAGGGAGGUGUAUAUGGCGCACUUACUUUCUCACGGGUGGGGACAGACCAUUGUAACUGUUGGUCUCGGUCUCA
rnacentral:rRNA from 1 species